GUUCAAGUCAAGAGUUAGAGCGGUGGAGUCUACUUUGUUGCUUUGUUUUACUGCAAGAAAGAAAUCUUCCCAUACUGACAUUAGUUUUAAAAGGAGCGCAAACCGUUAAAUAUUCUUUAAAUGAGAGCUGUUGGUGCCAAAAGAGGGCCUCGAAAGUCUCGUAUCUUUGCGUUAGCAAAGGGAUUUAGAGGUCGUGGACGAACUUGCUUUAUAUUAGCCAGGAGGAGAGUUGAAAAAGGGAUGCUUUACCGUUACGUAUCGAGAAAGUUAAAGAAGCGUAACAUCAGGAAGCUCUGGAUUACCCGCAUUGGCGCUGCCUGUCAAGAACAUAAUUUUAAUUAUAGCCGUUUUAUGAACGGACUGGUGAAACAUAACAUCAAGCUUAACAGGAAAGUUUUGUCGGAACUCGCUACUACUGAGCCUCGUAGUUUCAAAACUUUAGCCUUAAUAUGCAAACAAAAAGUGAAUGAAAAAGGGCUGGAAUCUUUGUUUUUAUAGAAGCUGUGUUA